GAAAAAUUCGUUAUCGAAAAAGAAAUUCUCUCAUUGGGCCAUCCGACAUAGGUGACAUACGACUGAUUGUAUUAGAACCGGCCUUAAAUGAACAUUCGAUGCAUCACAUUUUUCUGUAAUCUGAAUAGUCGGACCUGGCGAUUCGUACUUAUAUUACUCUGCGAUGUGCGAUCCGCGAGCAACGACAUCAGAAAUCAGAACGGGCCGCGGGCGCCUUGGUAACAUGAGCAGUGGGGAUAGAGAGGGGUAGGCUUUAUGCGAUACGCAUACCCGGCAUACCGAACUAACCCACCGCGGCGAGGCGGCGACCGCGCACCGUGUGUAGUGUGUAUUCACCUUACCCCCACUCUAUCCCCACUACUCAUGUUUACCGCGACGCCCGUGACCUGUUCUGACGUCAGACGCGCCCCAGUUCCCGUUCCCAAUGUUCCCAUAUCGCAUAUAUCGCGGAGUAAAUACACGAGUCGCCGGGUCCGAUUGUUUAGCUUGCGAAAAACUGUGAUACAUAUAUCGGCUGCAUUCCGAUAUUCACUGUCAGCAACUUUCAGUACUGAAAAUCUACAGUAUACGUGACGUAAAAUAUAGAUUUGCAGUACUGACAGUGAAUAUCGGAAUGCAGCCAUCGAAAGUUCAUUUAAUUCAUGUGCUUCGAGGAAUUUAUACGGAUACCGAGGUAUAUCGCAUUCGAUUACAUUUUUUCGGAUAAUCCGUAGUUAAUCAAAGUCGCGUAAUCGCGUAAUCGCGUUCUCGAGACAGUUGCUCCGGGCGAGUGAAGUUAGCCGUGCGCGAUUUACGAAAUUCUCUCCGCCACCUUCGCUUCACUUGUCGUGUCUACCUGCGCGCGGGAAUCGCGGGAUGUCACGGUGCGGCGUCAUGGCGUCAUGGGCGUCAAGCGGAUCGUAUAGUUUCGUUCGUAGUUUCUUCGACCGCGACGUAAUUCCACGUAAUUCUUCUGUCGCCGUGUAACUAAGUUUCUUAGUACCGCGUCGCGAGAUUAAUACCGGGAGUGCCGUGUGCCUUUAGUGUCGCGCGAUCAUAAGAGGAGACGAUAUCGACGAUAUCGUCGAUUUUCGCUCGUGAACGUCGUCGCGUUGUGAGUGAGUGCGACAAUGGACCAAGGACCAACGGAGUAACGGAGGACGAUCGAGGAGAGGAGAACGGGGCCUGGGAGGCAUCGGGCGACGGCGGAGCGACCGUGGGAUCAACGCAGAAUUACAACUCCGCUGUUGCGCAUCGGCCGGUGAGUUAUUUUUUGAGUAGAAGGGAUAAAUAUAUGUAUAUUAAGUUUAUUUGUAUGGUACAAAUUAGUACAAAUUCAGUCCUUCAAAUUUCUGUAUUUAAUUUUCUUUUUUUCUUUUUUUUUCUUGUGGUCUUUCUAGCUUAAUGCUAAGGUAGCACCGCCACGAUUUUCUCCGAAAUGGCACGGGAUACAAAAUUGUUAUUAGUGGUACAAAUUAGUACGAAAUGGGUACUAAUUAUUCUGAUAGGUCCGGUUUGAUUCUGCCGAUUUGGUCCUGCUAGCUUAGAAGAGGUGCGGGGGUGUCGCCAGCGGUGUUUGUGCGAAUGGUUACGGGGUCUGUUGCAUAGUCACGGUCUCCUGCGGCGGGAUAACCGCCGACAACAACACACAC